AGUGUUAUCAACGGUUUUGUCUCCCCUGCUAAGGGAGUAGGGCGGGAAACCGUCGCGAGGGUUCAAAUCCCUCCUUCCGCGCCA
rnacentral:tRNA from 1 species